rnacentral:snoRNA from 1 species
UUGCAGUCAAUUAAGCCAACCGUGUUCAUUUCCCCAUAGAGGCCCAGCAUGCAAUGGCUGCAAACAAUGCAGCCAUUGCUGCAAUGUGCAAUAGCUCCUCGGUAGUGUAUGUAGCCUGUUGCUUAUACCGGCUGUUCUAAGGGACUUGGAGACAGAC